GCUCAAUUAUCUGCUGGCCAGAAAUAAUACAGUUUUAACAGCAUAUUCAUAACUUCUAAAAUAUACAUUACAUUCACAUAAAAAAUAUAUAUUUACAAUCAAUCAAUUCAGGGAAACAACAUAUCAAAAAAUGGCAUGAAUCAGACCAGGGGUUCAGAAGUUAGCAAAGUAUCUUUUGGGGCCUGGCUGGCAGCAUGGCUAUCUGGCCCAAACUGGUUUUACAGAGCCCUCUAGCCUGGAGACAAUGGGGAAAGUAAUCCAAUUAUCCAGGGAUAGAAGCAGACUCCAUUGAGCACAUGUUCCCAGUAAAACACAAAAGGAUACAAAAAUACAUAACUCCUAUCAUACUGAAUUGAACGGGCCAAAUCUCCCAGGGUCCAUAGUCACAGGGCAAGAGGCGGGCAAGCAGUCCUCUCCAGGCACAAGUGGCGAAGGGCAC